GUUACUCAAGGGGAGGAGGUGUGGUCAAGGUGAAGGACACAGAACAAGAUAGAGUCGGCAGGCGUAGGCCCGCCCUUUCAGUCAUAAGUUCCUUUGUGGUGUAUGUUAGGUUUGGGGUGUCCAUCAUGCAUGCAAAUGGCAGCCGAAUAAUCAAUUGCAGAUACAGGCCUGGAGUUCAAUAAUAUUUGCGUCUGAGGAUCAGGCUGGAGUUACCAAGUCAGCAGUCUCCAGCUUUAACAGAUGGUAUUUGAAGCCAUCAGACUGGAGUAGCUCAACAGGGGAAUGAGGGCACAGAGAGGAAGAAAGGUCAGAUGACCCAGCACCCGCCAGGCUGGAGAAGGAGGAGGAGCUUGUAAGAGAGAAGAAUCAGGAGAGAUCAUUAUUAAAGCGAAACAGAGGACUACGCUGAAAAUCAGGAGACUGUUGCUGAAAAGGCCACUCCCAAUCUUCCACUUCACACACUGUGUAAACUUGAGCAAACUUCUCUAGGUCUUGGUUUCCUUAACUAGAGAGUAUGAUCAUUUCCACUUUGCAAAGGCUUUUUGGUGAUAAUUAAGGAGUUAAAGAAGCCCAAAAUGGGGUCAUUUGUGCCGCUCCCCCACAACAGGAACUCAAGACUUAUUUAGUUUCAAUCUGUCCCAGGACUGUGGCCUUUUAACACCUGAAAUUUCCUGAUGGGCACUAGUGAGGUCAUCUGCAUGACAAAAACCCUGCUUUUCCUUCCCUCCCCCCAAAAUAUAACAACACUUUUUUUUUCUUUUGCUGAUAAUUGUCCCUCCUUCCUAUAAAAAUCUUCCAUUUUGUUACAACUCCUUGGAGCAUCUCUACUUCCCAGAUGGGAUGCUGCCCAUUCAUGAAUUGCUUAACAAAGCCAAAUCAAGAUCUUAAAAUUUACCUGAAACUAAUAUAAGACAGUAAAUUACACUGGAAUUAAAAAAAAAAAAAUCUUGACAUUUACUUGGUAAAAAAAAAAAAAAAAAAAAAAUUUAACACAGGUGACUCGUGAAAACUAUCGGUAACAGUUUCGGCUCUCCAGAAGUACCUCUUAUAAUUCGUAAGUGCUCAAUACUUGUAGGAAGAAUGAGGUCUAGGGGGUCGGGCAGGCCGGCGCUGCCUUAAGAAAGCCCUGACUGAUCGGGCUUCGGUUUGCUGGCCCCGUAGGCCGCUGGGCGCCCACAAAGGGGCCCCGCCACAGGUCUUGCUGUCCCGGCGGCCUCCGGAUGCCAUCAGAGGGGCGAGAGCGGGAAACAAACAAGGAGAAGCAUAGGGCUCCUUCUUUCCGGUGGGCCCAGCACCAUAGAGGGUCGCCCCCACCGCGUUCCUAGAGCGGCAGCUCGGCGCCGACUGACGGCGCGGCCCUCACUUCCGGCGGCGCGAGGGGCGCCCAGCGAGUGAGCGAGCCAGGGUGGCGGCCGGCGGCCCGCGGCGCGAAAAUUCUGAGCUGAGGAGCUCUAGGAGGUGAAACUUCAGAAGAAGAGAGCAGACUCUUAAGAGUACAUCUGGCUCAUCACCAUGAGGUUAGGAAAACCUAAGGGAGGUAUUUCUCGGAGCUCAAGCCAAGGAAAAGCUUAUGAGAACCCACGCAAAACAGGCCGGCAGCGGCAAAAAUGGGGAAUGACUGUUCGAUUUGACUCAAGCUUGAGUAGACUGAGAAGAAGGUUGGAUGAGAAGCCCUAUAAAUGUACUGAAUGUGAAAAGAGUUUCAGUCAGAGCUCAACUCUUUUUCAACACCAGAAGAUUCACACCGGAAAGAAAUCCCAUAAAUGUGCCGAUUGCGGGAAAAGUUUCUUUCAGAGCUCUAACCUCAUUCAGCAUCGGCGGAUCCAUACUGGGGAAAAGCCCUAUAAAUGUGAUGAGUGUGGAGAAAGGUUUAAACAGAGUUCAAAUCUCAUUCAACACCAGAGAAUUCAUACUGGAGAAAAACCCUAUCAGUGUGAUGAGUGUGGCCGAUGUUUCAGCCAGAGUUCCCACCUUAUUCAACAUCAGAGAACCCACACAGGGGAGAAGCCCUACCAGUGCAGUGAAUGUGGCAAAUGCUUCAGCCAGAGCUCUCAUCUUAGGCAGCACAUGAAGGUGCACAAAGAAGAGAAACCUCGUAAAACCCGGGGCAAAAAUAUUAGGGCAAAAACUCACUUAGUGUCAUCUUGGAAAGCUGGUACAGGUAGGAAGUCAGUGGCUGGUCUCCGCUAAGUAAAGGGCACUGCGUCAGCCUUCUUUUAAAUACAAAAAUAAAAGCUGUCCCUUUUAGAACUGGAGAUAUUUUGUAAUAGAGCACUUAAAUACUGUAUCCUUUCCUAGCAUGGAAACAUUGGGAGUUUAUGACCUUGGGCUGAGAAAAACUACAAGUCCAGCUGGUCUCAUUUCUUUUUAUGUAACUUGGAAGACAAAAACCCGAAACUAUGUUUUGAGAGAAUAUAAGAUCCUUGACCUCAUAUGAUAGUUGCUUCCUGCAUCAUUUUGACAAAAAUAACUAUGUUUUAAUGGCACGUGUGAAAGUGCAGGUAUUCUAGUGACUCCUCAGUUUUAGGACUUUCUGUGGAAGUAAUUAAAAGGGAGAAGAAAUUAAUUCCGUUAGUGUGGAAGUUCUGCAGCCGAUGAGGAGAUUUUAUGUUUGUAAAGUUUUGUAGUAUAUUAACCAUUUGGUAUGUAAGUAUGACUCAAGACUCAACAUAUUAAAAUGUAUUCCUGUUCACUUAGCUUUUGUUUUUCCCUCCUGCUUACGGACACUUAUUAAUAAACGGAAUUGGAUUUCCCUCUCUUUCACCCAGUGCUUAAUAAGAGAUCCUCUAGAAGCCAAAGUGAGAACUGAAGUAGACCACAAGUCUCCUAUUCCCACUAGCACAGUUCUUUGAGAUGGUGUUACACUGUGCCACUUGCUUCUGAGAGGUUGGGGUGGCUUCGUGUUCACCCGUCCCCAUGCCUUUGUCUUUCGGCAUUCGCUUACCCUCUGACAAACUGAGCCAGCCUGUUAGAUCUACGUGAAUAAAUAAUUAAACCAUAUCCUACCAGCACACUCAACUUGUUAAUUAGAAAUCUACAAUUUACACGCUUCCCUGCUUUCCCCCUUUGAGAGUUUUAGGUAACACUGGUUAUCUUAAACAAAUGCUUGUCGACAGUGAAAGUCAUUUGACUCCAGUGUCCGUGCAUCUGUAGCUCAAUGUGUAGAUUUUGAAAUGUAAGUUAACUUCCUCUGAGUCGAUACGAAUUAUUUAUGAAGUUGAGCAAACCUGUUUCUUAACUUUCGUCAGGACAGUGCCAAGUGUCAGACAUUCUGAUCAGCCUUCAGCUCAGGUUUUAAUUUCUAUUGAAAGCUAACAUUCUUCUGAUUUUUUUGUAUCUUUUGUAAUCAUACCAGUUCCUGCUGUAUUAAUGACAUCCAUAAAAAUAAAGAAAAUGAAAUAUUUUGCAUACGA